CCCAUACAAAAACCUACCUACAAAAGCAGACUGCAUUUGCAUUCUAAAGUCUCGCGGACAGAACUCAGGAGCCCUGAAUAAGGUCCAAGCAGCCGAGGACAAUGAAGGCUUCUCUGUCUACCUGGCAGCUUGGCGGGACCCAGGCCUAGGACAGACAGGCACUCAGGGCGACCGGAGGAUCCUUGCCGCCCAGGGAUCCCAGCGGCCCUCCUAGGGGAGGAGAGGUUCUCUAGGUUUACCUACAGAGCAAUCUGAUGAAGGUAUUUCCUCAACUGAAGUUCCUGCUUCUUAGACGGCCCGACCUGAUGUCAAGCUGACUGGAAACUAACACAGCUUUCUACCAGACCAUCAAAGAAUUCCUCCUUCAGAAGGGUGAGUAGUCCAUUACAACGGAAGUCAGGACGGGAACUCAAGCAGGGAUGGAGCCUGGAGGCAGGACCUGAGGCAGAGGCCGUGGAGGGUGCUGCCUAAUGAUUUGUUCAGCCUGCUUUCUCCUGGAACCCCCAAGACCACCAGCUCAGAGGUGGCACCACCAACAAUGAACUGGACUCUUUCCUAUCAAUCACUAAUUAAGAAAAUGCCCUAACAGUUGAAUCUUACGGAGACCUUCUUUUGCAUUGAGAUUCUGUCUUUUCAGAUGACUGUAGCAUUUGCCGUGCUGACAUAAAACUAGCCAGCAUGGCUAUGAAUUCAUUCUACAUUUAUGGAGACUAUAAAAAAACAAAAAGAGGACAGACUGCCUCAGCUACACAUUUCAACAACAGCUACCCAACUUACUCAGCUGACUGGAUGGUGAAUGGCAGGCAAACAUUGGUAGCGCUUUCCCAACUCUGACUCAGUCUCCCUCAUUUCCUCUACUGUCGCUGGUGGUGACUUCACAAGGCGGUCUCUCCUUGGGGACUGCCACUCAUUUCCUAAGAUGUCUCGAUUCAUGCUGGGGUCUGCCAACUGAGGAAGGAAAAGGAGAACUGACACUUGGCCUGCAAGCCCAACCUACAGGGACUGCUGCCCACUGAGACUACCCUGUAACGUGAGACCUACCUCCCUCCUCCCAGCACUGAACUCACAAGAUGCUUGCAUUCACUGGUUUGAUACAUGGGACUCUACCCCCCCCCCCCCACUCCCGCCAUAGCCACCCCCUUUCUUUCCCCCCUCCUGCCCACAACACAUAACAGGCACCUUCUCUAGCAAGAAGCUCUGACUGAGAACUGCCCGGACCACGGAUUCCACAAUUUGCUCAUCAAAAUUCUAGUUGUUUGUUGUAACCAUCUAAAUUAUCUAAUCUUUAUACCAAUAAAGACACAGGAGGCAGAAA